CCCGACUCCAUGAAGCUGGAUUCGCUAGUAAUCGCGCAUCAGCCACGGCGCGGUGAAUACGUUCCCGGGCCUUGUACACACCGCCCGUCAAGCCAUGGAAGCCGGGAGUGCCUGAAGUGUGCAACCGCAAGGAGCGCCCUAAGGUAAAACCGGUGACUGGGGCUAAGUCGUAACAAGGUACC
rnacentral:rRNA from 1 species